UAAUCCCUGCGAUGUUUGUUAAGGCUUAUAUUCUUUGAACCAAUUGUUGGAAAAUGGUUGUGGACUUUAGUGAUGCUGUUGUGCGUUCCUAUAUUGGAUAUGCCUGAUGCAUCCGUGAAACAACCGCCUUGGACCUUAUGGUUCAAGAUGAUGGCCUGACGGCAUAUGUGGGGAGCUU
rnacentral:other from 1 species